AUAGUUACCUGGCAGGGGAGAUAUCAUGAUCAAGAAGGUAGUUUUCCCAGGGCAAGGCUUACCCAUUGCACUCUGGACAUGCUGACUCCUGCAGUUUCCCCAAAUGUAAGAAAUGUGACUGUAAGAUUUGUGGUAGUGAGGAACUAUGUUCAUGCUCUUCCCUG
rnacentral:snRNA from 1 species